rnacentral:rRNA from 1 species
GAAAUUCGCCUUCAUGAAGCUGGAAUUGCUAGUAAUGGCAGGUCAGCAUACUGCCGUGAAUACGUUCCCGGGCCUUGUACACACCGCCCGUCACACCAUGAGAGUUGGGAAUACCCGAAGCCUGUGAGCUAACUUAUAGAGGCAGCAGUCGAAGGUAGAAUCAAUGAUUGGGGUGAAGUCGUAACAAGGUAUC